rnacentral:rRNA from 1 species
UGAGGAAUAUUGGUCAAUGGGCGUAAGCCUGAACCAGCCAAGUCGCGUGAGGGAUGAAGGUUCUAUGGAUCGUAAACCUCUUUUAUAAGGGAAUAAAGUGCGGGACGUGUCCCGUUUUGUAUGUACCUUAUGAAUAAGGAUCGGCUAACUCCGUGCCAGCAGCCGCGGUAAUACGGAGGAUCCGAGCGUUAUCCGGAUUUAUUGGGUUUAAAGGGUGCGUAGGCGGCCUUUUAAGUCAGCGGUGAAAGUCUGUGGCUCAACCAUAGAAUUGCCGUUGAAACUGGGAGGCUUGAGUAUGUUUGAGGCAGGCGGAAUGCGUGGUGUAGCGGUGAAAUGCUUAGAUAUCACGCAGAACUCCGAUUGCGAAGGCAGCUUACUAAACCAUAACUGACACUGAAGCACGAAAGCGUGGGGAUCAAACAGGAUUAGAUACC